AUGCGAUAAGUAGUGUGAAUUGCAGAAUUCAGUGAAUCAUCGAAUCUUUGAACGCACAUUGCGCCCUUUGGUAUUCCUUAGGGCAUGCCUGUUCGAGCGUCAUUUAAACCUUCAAGCCCUGCUUGGUGUUGGGUGCCUGUCCCGCCCCCCGCGCGUGGACUCACCUCAAAUCCAUUGGCGGCCCCCGCGUGGCCACGAGCGCAGCAGAAACGCAAACUCGUGUGCCGGACCGGGCGGCUCCCAGAAGCUACACUCACCAUUUUGACCUCGGAUCAGGUAGGGAUACCCGCUGAACUUAA
rnacentral:misc_RNA from 1 species